ACCAGAGUGGCCUAGUGGUUUGAGUGUUGGAUCAAGACUUUGAAGGCCAGGGUUCGAUUCCCAGCUAGGUCA